rnacentral:rRNA from 1 species
CCUACGGGCGGCAGCAGUGGGGAAUAUUGGACAAUGGGCGAAAGCCUGAUCCAGCCAUGCCGCGUGUGUGAAGAAGGCCUUCGGGUUGUAAAGCACUUUCAGUGGGGAAGAAAGCCUUGGGGCUAAUACCCUCGAGGAAGGACAUCACCCACAGAAGAAGCACCGACUAACUCCGUGCCAGCAGCCGCGGUAAUACGGAGGGUGCGAGCGUUAAUCGGAAUUACUGGGCGUAAAGCGCGCGUAGGCGGUCUGAUAAGCCGGUUGUGAAAGCCCCGGGCUCAACCUGGGAACGGCAUCCGGAACUGUCAGGCUAGAGUGCAGGAGAGGAAGGUAGAAUUCCCGGUGUAGCGGUGAAAUGCGUAGAGAUCGGGAGGAAUACCAGUGGCGAAGGCGGCCUUCUGGACUGACACUGACGCUGAGGUGCGAAAGCGUGGGUAGCAAACAGGAUUAGAUACCCGAGUAGUC